CCCUGCUCUGUCUUGGAGGGGAGCGGGACGUAGGGGAAAAGGGGACGGCUGCGGGGAAAGGGGUUGGUCCUGCGGCUUCGGAUUGUGGCUCUUGUAGGUGCUGCAGCUCCUCGGAGCGUCUCUAGCUCCGGUGGGGGUCACGCGUUAGGAGUGCUGCCGGGGGCGGUGCGAGGCGGUGCAGCCGAUUUUCUCGAACGUUUUUUGUUCGCUGUGUAUCGUGCUUGUAGGAUGGCGGCUGAUGCAGUCGCUGGUCAGAUAAUGCCGUAACUGCCGGUUGUUGCAGAGAAUCUCCAGUUUUCCGGGAGCAUAAAAUAGCGAGCCUAGCGCUUUUGGGAAGCCCCUGAUCUCUGUCUAAAGCGUAACCGCAGCCCGCUUUGAUGGGGGGAUGUUUUGGGUUUCUACGUGUUUGUUAAGCCUCUAAAGAAAGCAUGGAGUCCAUGGCGUGACAUCCGGCUGUGCUGUCGGAACUCGUUCCCUCUCAAGCCUAUCCUUUGCGUUUACAGUGCCUUUCUGCUUCCUGAAGUCAAAUAUGAGAGAUGCUGUGGGACUUGAAAUAUCAAGGGAGAACGUUGGACAGCUUUUAAAUGUGGAGAGAUAGCAGUCUUAAAAUGAUUGUUCAUGAAAAUAGUCAACAUGAGUUAGGAAGUGACAGCCUCAGAAAAGAUUGAAGUAAAAGGUGCUUGGAGUGUGGACUUGAAUGGUGGUGGGAUAAGGUGGAGUGGUUUGAAUCACCAUGGAUAGUUGCAGUGGUUCUGGGUUUUUUUUUAAGCUUAUGAGGAAAUACGAGGACAAAGUUUCAAGGGAACUAGCAGAGAUUUCAAACAAAACUCUUUAGGAAAUAGGGUGAAUUGGCAUCAAAGAGAGCAAUACUUUUUCAUUUCAGAUUAGAUUACCCAUGGAAACAGAAAAACAGGGCAACAUUCAGGGGGUUGUGGACAUUCAUUGAAAUGCUAGAGUUAGGAUGAGAAUAAAGUAGAAAUAAAAACCCUUUUUCACCAUUUCCAAUGAAUCUUUUGAAAGUUCACAUGUUAACAUACUGGUCAUUUGAACAGUAUUAUCAGCUCAAAUCCUCUUUUUUAAAAAUUUUUUUAAUUCCCAGAUUACAAGAAUAAAAUAGACCUUUGCUAACCGGGGUGUCUUAGGGCAGAAGAACACAGCUUUAUCCACCAGUCCGCCACUUCAAACCAAUUAGAAACGGAGAGAGACGAGAGUUUGGAUUGGAUGGAUGAAUGGGUUGAUAGGGAGCCUGACACUAUCCUGCUCCCACCAGUUUUAGAAAUCUAUCUUUAGUGUCUUCCUUCACAGCUUAUUCUUUGUGUGAGUAUACUUACUGUCACUGUAAGCCUUUACUGUCUGCUCAUGUUUGUGACACAUUCUGCUCUACAUUCGUAGCUGUCCUCAUUUCUCUUGGAAAUUCAGGACUUCAUGCAUCCAAAAAACAUUGUCUAGAUUUAGAUAGAAAAAGUGUUUUUCUUGUUCUGUGUGAUUGCAGAAAGACACUGAAGCAUUUCACUAAAGACCUCAAAUAUGUUGUUAAAUACAUCAGCAGUAUGUUGCAGGUAGGGAAGCCUCUGGAUAACAGAUAAUUUUGGAUCAUGGCGCAUUAGGGUUGGGCUCAAGAUGUGUUGAAAGAAGUUCAUAGUAAAGAAUCUCUUACAUAAAAUCAAUCACUUCCUUGUCAGGAAAUUCCCAGGACACGGAUCUCUGGAAUGUGGCACAUUACUUGAGGACAAAUUUGCCUGUAUGUUCACCUUGUCCUAAUUUUUAGAUGCACAUUUUUUUUAUCACUCUUGGAAGCAGGAUUCUAGGCCUUGUUAAACCAUGCUGUUAUCCAGAGUGUUUGUGCUUACAUAUUUAAGUUACAUUUGUUCCUUCAAGCCUAGUUUUAGUUGCAGUAUUCUAUCACUGGCAUGCCUAAGAAAAAAACUCAGUUUUCUCAUAUUUCACUGUGUUACUAUCUGAAUAUGAUGGUUACGUAAGAAGGGAAUAAAAGACCUGCAGCUUUUUACUAGAUUAGAUAACACACACAGUUCCACCAACACUUGAUUAUAAAUAACACAUGCGAGGUUUUUUUUUCUUCCUACCGUAGGAUGAGAUAAAUAAUACUUUCAGACAACAACACAUAUCUGUGCAGUUGCACAGUUUGUGUGGGCUGUUCUAAGAAGGACUCCAGGGAUUGUCCUUCCCCUGCCUUCUGUAGAGCAGAAUUUUACAACUGUUUGUGUAAGUCUUGGUUGCCCUCAUUCAGCAGGGUGCCUACAAAAUGUUAAGCCUUCAGUAUAGUGAGGUAGAAGUACAUUGCUUAUGAUUUUAAGCUAUUGAUUUGAUGUUUCUGUAAGCAAUUGUACACGUAGCGUGUGCAGCCUGAUUAAAUACAAGAUGACCAUAAGAGUGUUUUGUCUUUAUGCCUCUUGUAAAUUAUAUAAAAUUAUCUUGAUUUAAGGUUUUCAGAAAUAAACAGCACUGUAAAUAAAAUGAAGCAAAACCAAUGCAGGCUGAGAGAACAGGCAGUAGCAGGCAGUGGACCUGAAGCUUAAUGCCUGGAAGUCUGGAGCUGUGUCUGACAGUCUCUCUUGAUGUAUAUCCCAAGAAAAAAGUAGUUAAUCCAAGGAAAGUUGCUCUAUCUCAUGAGAAAUGUGGUAAUUGCUUUCCAGCUACUUUGCCUCCAUUUCUUUAAAGGUAAAGUUACCUAUCCAGCUGUUGUAAAUUUUGCUAGGGUAUGUAGAACAAAAUAAAUCUAGUUGGAGAUUCAGUUAGGUAAUAUAAUGUUCAUACUUUUUUAAUUUUUAAAUGUUACUGUUCCUAAGAGUGAAUUGUUCUGCUAAGAAACUAUUAAUACUUUUUCUUAAAAAAAAAAAAAGAAAGAAAGAAAAAAAAAAGAAGCAAAUAUGAGAGAGUAUAUCAAACUGUACUUAGAAAAAUCUUGAACUUCUGAAGACCUCAGUGAUCUUUGAAUCACUUCAGAUGUGGCUAAGGAAUAAGGAAUAAUGAAUCCUUAGAUGCAACUGAGUUUUGAGUUUGUUGUUGCUUGGUAGACUUUUUGGAGCUUUAAUAAGGUAGCAGAAUAAUAAGGCAGAAUUCUAAGUGCAAAAAUGCUCAGCAUUUCUGCAGUAAAGCAAGUACUGACCUCUCUGCAGUACAGCCUUUAGCAGAAGUACUUUUUAAACUCUUUUUUUAGGCAUGAGCUGCAACAAAGUUGCUUUUCCAGCUUGGCCUUCAAUGUUCAGGUAAGCUUAUCAGAUCUAGACAGCUACAGCUAUCUCUGGCAUUUUUGUGCAGUACUGCAGCGUGGGUUUUUCAAGAAAUUCUCUCUUCUAACUAACUUCUGAAAUAGGGCACUCAAAGUUAUUUAAUUACACUUACUAAGUAUGAUAGCACUAUUGAAUAGAAAAAAAAGCCACUACAGAUGGGAUAAAUGGUUAACUACGUUAGGUAAGGAUCCCAUGAAAAAUAGAAAGAAGGCAAAGUAUAACAGAGCUGAAAAUACCAGCAAAAGACAUAUACAGAUGAGCAAAGAGGGAGUUUAUUGGUGAGAUCCAGUAAAGGACUUGCAUACCUAAAGCAAGCUUUAAGAGGAAUUUAAGUACUGAGGUUCUAAAAAAGAGAUCUAAGAAAUCUCACACAGCUGCUGCCUAACUGGGAAGAUGCCUGAAGUCAGAAAACUUUUUAAUUUAUAUCCCUAGAGUGGCUAGGGUUUUAUUUCUGCAGCAGCUGGAACUGCUGCAGAACUUCUCUGCACUUACUCUUAAACCAGAACAGUCUUCAACUGAGUUGUCAAAGUGACUCUACUUUGUCAGUAUUUUCAGGCCCCACCAAACACGCUGUUGUAUUCAGAGAUUCUUAAAGUUAGGUGUAUGUGCUUGCUUUUCACAUUUACGUGAAGGAUGGUGAGAUGGAGUAACUUUUUAUUUAACAAUCUAUCUUCAGUUACGUAUCUGAGCUGCAAGAUUCAGUUUGGUUCUAUCUAGGAGUUUUCAAACUUGUCUCAUCUCUCCAAGUAAUUUAUCCUAAAGUGUGACAGCAUGAAUUUAAAUUGUCUUGGGAGCAUGAAUUAGAGAUGAGGAUGUCAUUUCCUGCUGAAUGCCCUAUUCUUUGGGAUAAAUCUCACACUUUAUUUCUGUCCCUAUAGACUUUGAAUCCUUUUCUUCUCAGUGGCACAGCUUUAACAGGAUCAGAGCAGAGUCAUCUUUGUUUUUAAUAUCCUAUUUCUUGUUGAGUAGAAUCACUUUUCUUUAUUUAAAGAAAAUAUUUAUCGAUUUAAAUCUUUUUGAUUUAAUGAGGGCCUGCAAUGGCAAUGGGUUGCUCUAUGAGAGGUGUUUUUCUUCCUUCUGUUACCACGGCCAUGAUUUAACAGAAUGGUAGUUGGAUCCUACAGAUAGAGAGGACUGUGGAGAGGACACAUCAGUGAAAAUUUAAAAAAAAUUAAAAAAAAAAUUGGAAUUGCAUAAUUUUUGUGUCCAGAUAACUCAUUCCUUUAGUGGUGCUGGGAUUAAAUGUAUUCCCAUCAAAAAUGAUAGUCAUCACACUUACCUAUUGAUAUGGGUGUGUAUGUGUAUGUUUUUAUAUAUGCUAGCAUCAAUUGCUGUUGAUGAGCAAGAUGCAGUAAUCUGAUCUGAUGAUUAUAUUUUGGAGUUGUGAAAAUACAGUGGCUGCCUUGAAGACACCAAUUUGAAUUGCUUGUUGCCCUGUUCUUGUGUUCAUUUUUCCCCCAUGGUGCGAUAUCCAGCAUAGACCUAUAAAGAUACGCAUUUCAAAAGAUAGCAGAAUUUUUCUACACUUGCAGGACAAUACAAUUCUAAAUGUGAUCAAUAAGUUUUUAUUUUAGGCUUCUCUGGUUUGAAAACCUUGUUUAGCUCCAUGUAUGAUACAAGUAAUGUUUGUCUUCUCUUUAGGAAGAGAUUCCUUGGACUGAUUGGACUUCUUCCUUCUGCUAUUUUGCCUGCAUUAAUGCUUCACAGUGAAGAAAAAGGAUAAGCUCGUUAUUUAUAAAUGAAUAUAGAGCAAAAGCUCAAGAUAAUGGUUGGGAUUUGUGUUCUGUGCUACAAUUUGAUAUUUAAGCAAUAAUUGAUUCUGAUAUCUUUUUAAAUAUUAUCUUUUUCUUGUUAUAUAUGCUUAUAUAUGUUCUCUAAUACAUCUUUGUUAAGUUGGGUGCUUUGCAUCUACUUACGAUCAUCCUCUGAGAUACUUAGUUUUGUCAAAUAAAGUUCUUUGUUCUCUUGAUUUCUAACAAUUAUGAUGUUCAUUCUUAUACCCUUAAAGAAAAAAACUGCUGUUAUUAUAUUGUAUUUGUAUUAAAAAUACACCAGUGCUACACAAGAUUUUUUUUCUUUCUGCAUUAAGGGUGAUACUUGUUAUACUUGAUAUCUCAAAAGGAAAAAAAAAAUGUUUUUGGGUAGUCAAUAAUAGUUGUGGAAGUAAUUUCAAUCUGUCUGUGUACUGAUUUUAAGAAAUAUGCAUAGAAAUUACUUUGUAGCCUCCUCACAAUGUUAAGUGGCAAAACCCCCCCCAUUUCUUAUUACCACUGUAUUGUACCUCAGCCUGUGAUAGGGUAUAAAAUGAGACUGUCAAGUACCUCUACUUCCAGUGUAAGCUGGUUCUGCUAGUUCUAGAUAAAUCACUGGGUUUCAAUAUAGUUAAUGAUAAAGUAACCUGUCUUUGAAAAUUGAAAAGCAGUUAAUACAGGUACAGAACUUGGAUUUACUUAUUCUCUUUAGAUCAACUGUUUAGGCUCAAAGAAGUAUGCUCUUUGUCUUAAAUAUUUAUCUACUAUUUUUUUUAAUAGAGUUUACAUGCAGCUUUUUAUUACCUAACAAGUGCCCCUUCAGAAAUUCUGUAAUACUAGGCAACUCUUUUUGGUCAAUGAGAAUAGAAUAUUUUUCAAAGACUAUGAAUAGUACUCUUUACUGAAUCUAGUGUUGUAUGAAGAAAAUGAGCUGAAUGAAAAUUGGUUAAUUUAAACUUAAGGUGCAAAAAACGUCUAUUCAAUUAGAUGUCCUGUUUGGCAAGUUUGCCCCUUAGCAGCCAAGUGAAUUUUCUUGUUUAUUUUGAUUCCUUAGUAUCCCCUUUCUGCUUUGGCUUAUAUCUCUUUUCUAUGUCCUCCUUACUUCUUGAACAUUAGUAGCAUCACACAGUACAUUGUACAUUGUAAGCUGGGUUAUUACAUACAUUUUACCAGUCUUUUGUACAGUGUAGUGCAGGAAAUGUUCUCUUCUGUAUCACUUCUGACAAAAGCAGUUGUUUGCAGGCUUGAAUUCAGAGUCUAUCUGGUGGUGGUGUUUGUUGUUGUUGUUGUUUUCUUUUUUUUCCAACAGAGCACUGCAUCAUACAGCAGAAAAGAUAGCAUGCUAAAACAAGUAAAUGAAACAUGAGCUAAGUACAUUUACUGUUUCAGUUUUUCUCCUCCCUACCGUUUUGUUUUGUUUUGUUUUUCCUGCUGUAUCUUUCCAGUGCAAUAAAACAAUUUCUGGGCUCAAGCUAGUGCCCACAAAUCAUCAGUGUAGAGACAAAAGAGCACUUCAUUUCCUAACUAGAUUCUAUUCAGCAACAAAAUCAAAGAACACAGGUGUUUUUUUUUUUUUUUUUCUUCCCCAGUAUGUAUUUGUGCAAAUCUGUCAUUGUAUGCAAUGGUACAGAGUUUCAGUGAUAUGAAUUGAGGCUGGUCACAUUUUCAAAAAAAGGUAUCUUUAGUGAAAGUAGCCCAUCCAAAAUUAUCUUCAUUGUAUCUUCAGUCCUUGUCACAUGUUACAUAAGCAUUAAAUUUUAGGGAUCACACCUAAGUAUCUGUGUCCUUCAACUCCUGAUUGUCCAAAAAUGAUAUGGAAACAGCUGAAAGAUCAUGAUACGCCCAUACAUGUGAGUUUUAUUGGUCUUUGUACUUCUAUUUCUAAUUUUAAAAGAAAGAAAAUCCUACCAAAAAGUCCCACAAUCCUUUAAGUGAGCAGCUUAUCUUCUUGUUUUUCAGGGGUUUGUUGGCACUCUGUGUCCUUUUCCUGUUUGCUUUUGUCUGAACUGCAGUUAUGUUAGAUCAUUACAGCAGAAAUAUUUAAAAUCAAACAAUUAUAGUGUAACUUUACCAAUAUGUUGUAUUUCCUUACAAUGUUUAUGUAAAUAUUUCUAUCACAUUUCAAUUCAUUAUCUUCCAUAGAGUAAUAUCUGAUGACUGAACUAUGUACUUCAAUAUUUUCUCUCUAUAAUAUUAGCCAGUUUGGGUAGGAAUGCUGUGUACUUUUAUUAUAGUGUUUCCAUUUAGUGAACUGUUCUGAGAAACAAGCCUGGGCAAAAUACCAACCUAACAGGGCCACACUGCUUCUGUUACUUGAACUAACGUGAGCUACUUGUUCAUUUAUGUGAAUGGUGUACCUUAUCAUCUCUUUUAUUCUCAGCUCAGAAAUAAUAAUUAAAAAUUUUGUUUGUCUACUGCAGUAAAAAGAAGAGAUAUAUUGAAGAUUUUGCAAAACCUAAAACUGAACAGGAUCAAGCUUUUUCCUUGCUAAUCCCCUGCAGAAGUAUAAUUUUUGUGGCUUUUUUUAUUGUAUACCUUUGCAAUAUUUCUUCUAAACAGUUGAUUUUUAUAUGCUGUAUGUGAAAGAAGACUAAGGACAGAAAGAAAGGACUUUUUUUGAAGAAGGAAUAAAGAAGUUAUAUUCUUAUACUUGCCUUUUUUUUCUGAAAUUUUGUGAAUCCAGUCAAGAGGACUUGGGUCAUUUAAGUAUUUGUGGUUAACACACUGAAAGUUCAGAUCUGUUUAUGCAGGUAAAUACUGCCUGAAUAAAAAAUGAUUUUCAGAAUCAUACAUUUUCCAUGCUUAUAAUAUACAGCUUUCAAAGAAGGUCCCACACUGUAAUCAUGCAAACAGUAAUUUAAAAGGUUCGUCAAAUCCCAAUUAAAAUAUUUGAAAAUCAGCUGGGUUAAUGUUUCAUUGAAUUAAUUUUGUUUAAAGUAACUGAAUUAAAACAGUAUCUUCAAGAUGUGGAUAGCUCUAAUUUUGAAUGAGUGGUAAGAGAUGCACCUAUUUAGCCUAUUAAAGUAAUUUAAAACUAAAUAAUAUGUUACCUCCAUGUAGGUAUUUAAUUAUUCACUGUUUUUCAUGUAUGUCCCUUCUAAUGGCAUGCAAUCAGGUUGUCUUUUCUGGCUUUUCUGUAGGUCAGAAAAAGGGUGAUAUUUUAAUAAUAGUUUCUAAUGUCUCUUACCCAAAUAAAUACGGUGUUGUCAUUAUGGUUUAACUAAUUACUUGUCUAAUGGAAAGUACAUUCAGGUUUCAGUUAUCUGAAAAUGGUGAGAUAAGUCAGGAUUUACAAAAACACAUCAUGCACAAAGUAACUAUAUGCAAGUCUAUUAGCACAUGCCUGCUGAGGAGUGAAGAGCAAUGUCUUAGCUGACCAAGUGAUGUUAAAGCAUCUCACUGCGAUGCUUUUGCAAGUCAGCCUCCAUAAGCAUUAAUCUUAAUACAUCAGUUUUCUCUGUAUUCCUAUGGAAGACUAGGAUACACUGAAUAAAUUUUUUUCCGUCUCUUUUAAAGCAUACUAUGUCUGAUGCAUAGACAACAAGGAAUCCAUAAUAACUAAAUAUGAUACUAUAGUGACAAACGUAGGCACUAGGUUGAGGUUUCAGUCCUCCUGUAAAAACUGUUCUCACAUUCGAUAAUUGUAUCUGUUCUCUGUUACAAAUCAGAUACUAUCUUAGUGUAUCUGAAAGCAUCUUAAAGUAGUUUUCUGAGCACUUAUUGUAGAUAAGUUAAUAUUAGUGUGUUUUUGAAUGGGUAAACUGAAGUUUGUAGAAAUUGGUUGAUUUUGUUCUUUUUAUUGCUUUUUUUAAUGCUGUAUAGUAAAUUUAGCAAUAGCUUAUUAUUUGAACUGCUGACGUGCUAGAAGGUAGACUCUCAUGUCUUGCAGUGGAACUCUGUUGACACAGGACUUACAGCACGUUCUAAUUUGGGAUUUGUAAGACACCUAGGGCUGGUAUUAUGGAGCCCUACCUCUCCCUCACUUCAUUCCUGCUCUUCACUAAAGAGCUGAAAAAGCUGACAAGCUGUUGUCAUCGUUUUCCUUUGUGAUACAUUGCAGUGUCUUGUUAUGAAGUAGUUGGUUGUAUCUUGGGGCUCUCAACCGUGAAGAUUUGAUGUAGGAUUCAACAAUGUGUCAACAUUUAUCACUCCUGUAAUAUUUCUUCCUCCCACUUGUACUGCUUUAACGCAAUUCCUUAGCCACAAAUCUAAGCCAAAACAACAUAGACUAGAUGUAAAUAUUCUUAAUUGUAGAAAUAAAAGAUGCAAUAUGAUUUUAUUUAAACAUUUAUUUAAAAAUACUUUGGGAUGUGUUUUGAUAUCUGGAAUACCUUGAUAAAAUUGUAAGCAGAAUAAUUCAAUGUUUGCAGUACCAAUGCCUGGGAACUAACAGACUUUCAGAAUGCAUGUGGUUUGCAACGUCAUUAACAAGAUUAAUUGUCAGGCCAGUAAUUGAUUUCUACUUAUACUACUGGGACUGAGCUGUUCCUAUUAUCACCAAAAUCACCUCUCUCCAGGCAAUCUGAGCAGUAAUGUGCUAUAGUAAAGCUGAAACAAAUCUCUACUCUUGAUAAUGCUUCAUUUUAAGACAAUGACUGACUUUCUUAAGUCUCAGUAGAAAGCCAUAAUGCUUUUAUCUGUUCUUACUGUAAAUAAUCUGGGAUGACUGUUUUAAGCAGUCUUGCUUAGUGUACCGACUAAUUAUCAUUGCUUUUAAAGAAGUAUCUUCAUUUGUGCAAUAUAAUUGUCUUGAACAUUCUAGGUAGUUGAUGUAUUUAAAAUUUGUGUAUUUCAGUAAAGUGGGUUUUACUGUAGGUGCUAUUGUUUUCACUACAUACUUCAUUUCUAUAAUUCUUGCGUCACAACUACUAGCAUUAAAAUAUACAUACCUGCAAUCAAAGUAUUUACAGCUCUUUACUGAUGAUCAGGCUCCCCAUGCCUGCCAGGACCCUGAGCCUCUAGGUGUGGGUGAGAGGAGUGGAUUCUGUCCCACUGUAGCAGUGGAACAUGUCCAGUACCUCCUCGUGAAACCGAAUGUGUAUAAGUCCAUGGAGCCAGAUGACAUGCAUUCAAGGGUUCUGAGAGAGAUGGCUGAUGUGGUUGCUGAGUACCUCUCCUUUCAGGGAAGGUUGAGGGCUUGUUUAGCUUGGAGAAGACACCAAGGAGGCUUCAUUGUGGCCUUCCAAUAUUUGAAGGAAGAAUAUAAGCAGAAGGGGGAAUGACUGCAUGGGUUGAUACUGAUAGGACAAUGGGGAAUGGUUUUAAACUAAGGGGAGAUUUAGGUUAGAUUUUAGGAGGAAGUUUUUCACUCAGAGGGUGGUAAUGCACUGAAACAUGUUGCCCAAGAUGGUUGUGGAUGCCCCAUCCCUGGAGGCAUUCAAGGCCAGGCUGAAUAUGGCUUUGGGCAGCCUGGUCUAGUGGUUGGUGACCCUGCAUAUAGCAGGGGGGGUUGAACUAGAUGAUCAUUGUGGUCCUUUUCAACCCAGGCCAUUUUAUGAUAAGUGGGGGCUGCCUGUUGCAGUGAGCUUGCUGAGUUGAUCCUGCAGCCUAGAGGUGCAUGCAACACAGGCUUAAGGGCCAAGCUGCAUGUAGCAUGGGGUAACUGCUGUGUGGGUUGCUAACUCCAGGACUGUGUA